rnacentral:rRNA from 1 species
UGGGGAAUAUUGCACAAUGGGCGAAAGCCUGAUGCAGCGACGCCGCGUGAAGGAUGAAGUAUUUCGGUAUGUAAACUUCUAUCAGCAAGGAAGAAAAUGACGGUACCUGACUAAGAAGCCCCGGCUAACUACGUGCC